UGGGGCAAGUUUUUCUUGAUUCUGAGGUUGUGAAACAGUGGCUCGCCGAAGUACUAAAUCCCCUGCUCUGAAGGCUUUUGCUCUUGACCCAGGAGUUAUAGUAGCAAGCUGCUUUCUGCUUGUAGGUUGCCAUCCGAACUUGAGCUGUCUUCCGCUUUUCUUCUAACCAAUCGAGGUUGGCCUUGAGAUCCCAUGAGUUGCGCUGCUCGUCGAAUGCCACGACUCACACCGAUGGAAACUUGAGUUCAAUCGGGAUAACGGCUUCUGUUCUGAAGGCUAAGGCAAAGGGGGUCUCCCCUGUGAGCAGUCUUUGGGUAGUUCGGUAUAUCCAUAACACAUGAUAAAACUCGUCUGUCCAAGU
rnacentral:lncRNA from 1 species